rnacentral:rRNA from 1 species
UACAGAGGUCUCAAGCGUUGUUCGGAUUCAUUGGGCGUAAAGGGUGCGUAGGUGGCGCCGUAAGUCGGGGUGUGAAAUUUCGGAGCUUAACUCCGAAACUGCAUUCGAUACUGCGGUGCUUUGAGGACUGGGAGAGGAGACUGGAAUUCAUGGUGUAGCAGUGAAAUGCGUAGAGAUCAUGAGGAAGACCAGUGGCGAAGGCGGGUCUCUGGACAGUUCCUGACACUGAGGCACGAAGGCCAGGGGAGCAAACGGG